rnacentral:lncRNA from 1 species
AAAAAAAAAAAGAAAAAGAAGAAGAGAGAAGAAAAAAUCUUGAAAUGCCUGGCCAUGGACUCUCUCUCUCUCUCUAAUGAUAUAUAUGUGUCAUGUAUGUAUGUAUUUAUCUCUCUCUCCUCUUAGUCCCUCUUUUGGCAAUGAUUCUUUAGCUCUUUUCCUCCCUUCCUCCUCUGUGUACUCUGAAGUAAUCAAUAUGAAGAAAGAAAAUCAAAUCUCUAGGCUCUAGCCUUUUUUCUCUUUUUCUCUGAACGUUAAUCUCUGUAAUUCUGCAACCUAUACACAGAAAGUUGUGUCUUUCAGAUCCCAAUAUGUAAUCUCUAUCUCUACACAUAUAUAUUGAACCUUACUGUACUAUUGUUCAAAGCAAAAGGUGAAUAGUUAAAGCAGUUUGUUUGGGUGCUAAGAAAAAAAAAAUUAUAAUAAUAUGCAAGAACAAGGCACAAACAUCAUGGGUUCUGGUGGUGGUGGCUCCGGAGAGCAGAACCACCAGCUCAAGGCGGAGAUCGUCACCCAUCCGCUGUACGAGCAGCUGCUCUCCGCCCAUGUAGCGUGUUUACGGGUGGCGACACCGAUUGAUCAACUGCCACUUAUUGAUUCUCAACUCUCUCAGUCUCAGAAUCUCCUGAGGUCUUAUGCUCAUUAUAAUGUUUCUCAGUCUCUAUCUCUACAUCAAAGGCAAGAACUUGACAAUUUCUUGGUAGGGUUUUCUUCAAAUUUUUUAUUUUAAUUUUUUUUUGAAUUGUUUUGGUUCUAAUCAUGGUCUAGAUCGUACCAAGAAACAUGACACUUAUUUUAAGGAAAAAAUAUUUUAUGAAAGUAUGAUUUUAGGGUUACAAUUUCAUUUUUAAUUUAUGUCAUAAUCAUGGAGUUUUUGUUAGAUCUAUGUUAAAUAAAUUUAUGAAUUUAAUGCUGUGUAUAUCUAUGUCUGAAUCAGACACAGUACUUGUUAGUAUUGUGUUCAUUUAGAGAAGAUCUGCAGCAACAUGUUAGAAUCCAUGCUGUUGAGGCUGUCAUGGCCUGCCGUGAAAUUGAGCACAAUUUACAAACUUUGACAGGUAUUUAUAUAAUUUCUCUAAUGAGUACAAAUAUAUAUUUUGAAAUAUCUUUGCGCUCGAGGGCAAUGACAUAGUUAGUGAUUUUCUAAUCAAGCCACGUCCGUCGCUAGUUGAAAACUAUUUCCAAAUCCUAUCUUCGGCCUGGUUACGUCCUGACGGUCGAGAAUCUCCGAAAGGGUUCUCCUCAUUGGUGAAGCCCUACAAAAAGGAAAAUGUAGUUAUCGAUUAGUUUAAUAUCUUAAAUGAUAUUAUUGUAUAAUAGGAUAAUUUUAGUGAUGCACUAAUUUUUUUUUUUAAUAGCUAAAAUUAUAUGAAAUGAUUCAUCAAGACUUGAUCUAGAUAAUAAAUUUGGUAAUUUAUGUGCGCUCCAAUAGGGUUGGGAUAAUUUGGUAAUUCUAUUGGUAGGUAAGAGGAUAAGAAAGUAAUUUGCAGCUCUAGGAAGCUUGUGGGCCCACUGGAAAGAGUAGUUAAUAUUUGGGAAUUGGGAGAGAAAAAAUAAGUGGCAACAAACCAAUACAAUAUUAAAUUACUAACAACCUAAUAAUGAAUGCUCAUUGAACAAGCAAGAAUAAGUAGCAAAUUCGUUCCUCUAAUUUCCAAUUCAUAAGUCAAUACUAGAGAAGGAUACAUAGAAAGUGUACAACAAGGAAAAUUGUCUAUCAUUAGAUAAUCAGUCUUUACGUAAUUCAUUCUAAGUAAUAUCUAAAGACUCUUAUGCCUUUCUUGAUUGAAGUUGAAUAAGUACGUUAUAAAGUAAUAAUAGAAAAGGCUUAUAUUGGUAACUUUCACCGACCUAAAAUCUCAAAGGAGAUAAUCUACACGUACUUUUGUAUACGAUCACAUUAUGGUUUUAUUCUAGUCAUUUGCCUUCAAAUAUUUGAUUUCAAGAUUAGAGUGUAUUUUAUUUUUAAACAUUUAUAACUAAUGGAUUUUCAUGUUGUAAUACAUUAAACUAGCUGAAGAUCAAAAAGUCUAGAACCGAAUGAACUUAUAGAGAUGCAAAGGACAUAUUUAGUGCAUAAUAUUUAAUAUGAUUAUAAUUUUUUUUUUUAAAUAUUGUCGAGUAAUGUACAGGAACAACACUAGGUGAAGGAACCAGUGCAACUAUGUCGGACGAUGAGGAUGAACUGCAGAUGGAUUUCUCAUUAGAUCAAUCAGGAACUGAUGGACAUGAUCUGAUGGGAUUUGGACCACUGGUUCCAACAGAAUCAGAGAGGUCUCUUAUGGAAAGAGUUAGACAAGAACUCAAAAUUGAACUUAAACAGGUGAGUUUCUUCUAAAAUUUCAACGACGUACAAAAUUUUAUUCACAAUUGAAUCUCCUUGUCUAAAAACUUGAAACCGUUAUCAAACGUGCCUUUGCAGGGAUUCAAGUCGAAAAUCGAAGAUGUGAGAGAAGAAAUAUUAAGAAAAAGAAGGGCAGGAAAGUUACCAGGUGACACAACUACAGUGCUCAAGGAUUGGUGGCAACAACACUCAAAGUGGCCUUAUCCAACUGUAAGUCCCUUCUUUUUCGACCAGCUCAACACAUUGUAUUGGAUAGAAUUAGACAAAAUUAAGGAUGAAAAUUAAACUAUAAAAUUUGUCGCGAAUUCUCGUCAUUUCAUUAGUAAGAACUCUAACAAAAUACGUCGAUACUAACUUAACUCCCCGACACUCCUACUUGGUAAGUAAAUAUUUAAGUUUUCCUUCUUUUUAUUCAGCACCAAUCAAACGUGCUCUAAAAUAUCUCGUAUUUCUCGAAAAAAGGCAUUAAAUUCUAUGAUAUUGCAGGAAGAUGACAAGGCAAAACUUGUAGAGCUAACAGGGUUGCAGCUAAAGCAAAUAAACAAUUGGUUCAUAAACCAAAGAAAGAGGAAUUGGCACAGCAAUUCGCAGACUGCUACAUCUUUGAAGUCCAAGCGCAAGAGAUAGAGAAAGUUGUGCUGUAUUUAAGCUUUGGGGACCACAUUGCAAAUGUGUUGAUAGAUCAAGGACUAAUCGUGCAAUUUUUCUUCAUGUCAGUAAGCUAAUGGAAUGUAACGUUCUGGAUAAGUAAAGUUUUCUUUAAACAUUUGACGAAGUGUGUGGUAAAUCGAUUGAGGUGUUCAAGUUACUAAGGCCCUG